rnacentral:rRNA from 1 species
CCUACGGGGUGCAGCAGUGAGGAAUAUUGGUCAAUGGGCGCAAGCCUGAACCAGCCAAGUCGCGUGAGGGAUGACGGUCCUAUGGAUUGUAAACCUCGUUUGUCGGGGAGCAAGGCCCGCCACGUGUGGCGGGCAGGAGAGUACCCGAAGACAAAGCAUCGGCUAACUCCGUGCCAGCAGCCGCGGUAAGACGGAGGAUGCGAGCGUUGUCCUGAUUUAUUGGGUUUGAAGGGUGCGUAGGCGGAAGGUUAAGUCAGCGGUCAAAUGUCGGUGCUCAACACCGGCCUGCCGUUGAAACUGGUCGUCUUGAGUGAGCGAGAAGUAUGCGGAAUGCGUGGUGUAGCGGUGAAAUGCAUAGAUAUCACGCAGAACUCCGAUUGCGAAGGCAGCAUACCGGCGCGCAACUGACGCUGAGGCACGAAAGCGUGGGGAUCGAACAGGAUUAGAUACCCCUGUAGUC